rnacentral:lncRNA from 1 species
ACAAGUCAGUAAGAGGUUUGAAGAAGGAGAAAGGUUCCUGAAUGUUGGAGAUGGAAGACCAGUUCCAGUUCUAGCUUUAGGAAUUCUUAAACUUGAAUUCAGCUCUUAUGUAAAUGUCCUUAGUAAUUGUCACUAUUGUCCAAGUUUUCUAUUGAAUAUCAUUUCUGUAGGCCUUUUGGCCAAAAAUGGUUAUGAAAUAUCAAUAAAAAAGGAUUAUUGCAAUAUCAUUUGGAAUGGUGUUGUUGUAAUGAAUGGAAUU